UCGACCCCAAGGCGAGGCUGAAAGCGUAGUCGAUGGGAAACAGGUUAAUAUUCCUGUACUUGGUGUUACUGCGAAGGGGACGGAGAAGGCUAGGCUGGCCGGGCGACGGUUGUCCCGGUUUAAGCGUGUAGGGGUGUGACUGGUAAAUCCGGUUGCAUAUCAACCCUGAGGCGUGAUGACGAUGCACUACGGUGCAGAAGUAGUUGAUGCCCUGCUUCCAGGAAAAUCCUCUAAGCUCCAGGUAACAUUAAAUCGUACCCCAAACCGACACAGGUGGUCAGGUAGAGAAUACCAAGGCGCUUGAGAGAACUCGGGUGAAGGAACUAGGCAAAAUGGUGCCGUAACUUCGGGAGAAGGCACGCUGGCAUGUAGGUGAAGUCCUCGCGGAUGGAGCUGAAGCCAGUCGAAGAUACCAGCUGGCUGCAACUGUUUAAUAAAAACACAGCACUGUGCAAACACGAAAGUGGACGUAUACGGUGUGACGCCUGCCCGGUGCUGGAAGGUUAAUUGAUGGGGUCAGCCGCAAGGCGAAGCUUGAUCGAAGCCCCAGUAAACGGCGGCCGUAACUAUAACGGUCCUAAGGUAGCGAAAUUCCUUGUCGGGUAAGUUCCGACCUGCACGAAUGGCGUAAUGAUGGCCAGGCUGUCUCCACCCGAGACUCAGUGAAAUUGAACUCGCUGUGAAGAUGCAGUGUACCCGCGGCAAGACGGAAAGACCCCGUGAACCUUUACUAUAGCUUGACACUGAACAUUGAGCCUUGAUGUGUAGGAUAGGUGGGAGGCUUUGAAGCGUGGACGCCAGUCUGCGUGGAGCCAUCCUUGAAAUACCACCCUUUAAUGUUUGAUGUUCUAACUCGGCCCCAUAAUCUGGGGUGAGGACAGUGUCUGGUGGGUAGUUUGACUGGGGCGGUCUCCUCCCAAAGAGUAACGGAGGAGCACGAAGGUUAGCUAAUCACGGUCGGACAUCGUGAGGUUAGUGCAAAGGCAUAAGCUAGCUUGACUGCGAGAGUGACGGCUCGAGCAGGUACGAAAGUAGGUCUUAGUGAUCCGGUGGUUCUGAAUGGAAGGGCCAUCGCUCAACGGAUAAAAGGUACUCCGGGGAUAACAGGCUGAUACCGCCCAAGAGUUCAUAUCGACGGCGGUGUUUGGCACCUCGAUGUCGGCUCAUCACAUCCUGGGGCUGAAGUAGGUCCCAAGGGUAUGGCUGUUCGCCAUUUAAAGUGGUACGCGAGCUGGGUUUAGAACGUCGUGAGACAGUUCGGUCCCUAUCUGCCGUGGGCGUUGGAAGAUUGAGAGGGGUUGCUCCUAGUACGAGAGGACCGGAGUGAACGCACCACUGGUGUUCGGGUUGUCAUGCCAAUGGCAUUGCCCGGUAGCUAAGUGCGGAAAAGAUAAGCGCUGAAAGCAUCUAAGCGCGAAACUUGCCUCAAGAUGAGUCUUCCCUGGGCCUUCAAGGCCCCUGAAGGAACGUUUAAGACUAAGACGUUGAUAGGCUGGGUGUGUAAGUGCAGCGAUGCAUUGAGCUAACCAGUACUAAUGAUCCGUGAGGCUUAACCUUACAACACCGAAGGUGUUU
rnacentral:rRNA from 1 species